rnacentral:rRNA from 1 species
UACGAAGGGGGCUAGCGUUGCUCGGAAUUACUGGGCGUAAAGGGCGCGUAGGCGGGAUGGCAAGUCGGUCGUGAAAUCCCUCGGCUCAACUGAGGAUCGUCGAUCGAUACUGCCGUUCUUGAGGAUUGCAGAGGAGACUGGAAUUCCCGGUGUAGCGGUGAAAUGCGCAGAUAUCAGGAAGAGCACCCGUGGCGAAGGCGGCUCUCUGGGACGGUACUGACGCUGAGACGCGAAAGCGUGGGGAGCGAACAGG